rnacentral:sRNA from 1 species
CACACCAGUACGAAAGAGAGCACCAAAAAUUAAACGUCAAAAAUUAUACUAUUUGACUUUUAAUAAGAAGAGGGAAAUAAGGCAGAGAUGAACCUCAACGAGUGGAUAGAGUCGUCUCCUUACCACGGAAUCAUUGUAGGAGUCGUCUUGUCCACUACCGUCUUCUGUGUCUUCUUAGUGUUAUCUCUCUGGCUGCACUGUGUUCGAAAUCCUCAGACCCAUCAGCCGGGAAAAUCUGGUGCAAAGUCUAUCGGACAGAAAAACAAGAGUUCUUUAACUUGUAUCCGCCUUCUGGAUUCCGCCCUUGGAAACUGUAAGGUCCGAA